ensembl:lncRNA
GGAGAGGAGCCAAAAUGAAAUAACUAGGUUUCCUUAGAAAAAUAAAUAUUGCUAGGGAAUCUAACUACCUUAACAUCCCUCAUUCUUGUAUAACAGAGGAUUUUUGCAAGCUAUUUAUUUUAAUAUGCCCUGAGUGUCUUUUGGUAUUAUGUAGCACAUUUUGCAUAUGAAAGGCUAAAAUCAAACUCCCUUACUUUUAUACUAUAGUGAACAUUUUUCUAUUCUUCCCAACAAUCGUAUCCCAAAUGUAAAAGUAUGGGCUCAGUUUCCAGGUUAUGAACAUUUAUAACUACAAACCAGAGAGCACUGGAUGGGGUCUGCAGAUCAAAACUCCUUAGUUAGAUACUAUGGUGGGAAAAGAAACGAAUGAAAAGUUAUUUAUUACAAACAUAUUUCCCAAAAGGCAAGCAGUACCGGCUGCUUGGUAGAAUUCAGCCCCACACCUGUAGUCACAGAGAUGGUGAGCCCGAGACAGAGGAUCAUGAGUUCAAGGCUAGCCUGGAUCAUACAGCAAGAAAAAGGGGGUGGGUCCGCUAAGGAAAGACUUAUAACUGCGGUUUAAAUUGUCUAAGCUUUAACUAAAGGAUUCCUGAAAUAAGGUUGUUUUUUGUUUUGUUUUGUUUUGUAUUUUUAAUACUGGGGGUCUGGGGAAGAACCUUUUCAACCUUUUUAGCAUCCAGGCCAAAUGAGCAGAAUCUAGGGAUAUCAAGUGGUUGGCUGAUCAAAGGAAGGGAACCUCCAAACCCACCAGCCCUUCCCAUGCCUCUUCCCCAAGAGAAUGUUGUCCCUGAAAAAUCUGCCCUUACUUUUCUUUCCCCCAACACCACAAUUUUGCUUUAGAACUUCACCAGGCUUUAACCAGCCUCCAGCCUCAAGCAAACCAAUUCUCUCUUCCUCAGAUGUGUUUCCCAACCUUUAAGUAACAUUGUCAUUUUUGGCAAACGGCCAUGUUUAAAAAAAGAAACAAGAAAGAGAAAAAGUCUUCCUCUCGCUCACCCCUCAAGGAUGCAUGCACACUUCUAAUCCUUUGAGAGGCAAAGUCCGGUGGAUCUUUGUGAGUUCAAGGCCAACCUGGACUAUAAGGUGUGUUCCAGGCCACCCAGGGUGACAGAGAGACUCUGUCUCAAUAAAACAAACAAAAAACAAAAUCUAAAAACAGACAAACAAAAACCUUCUUGGACUCUAAUACAGUCUCUUAGAGUGUAGCGUUCAGUAUCUUCUGACCUAUGAGAACCCCUAUAAAGUCUGAAUUUUACACUCCAUUGAAAUAUUCCUCAAGCUAUUAUUUUCAUUUUACAAACAAUGCUACUCAAUUAUUAGUACGAUUUCUUAUUUACCUAUAUCUCCAACCAACCCGAAUGAUGCACCCUCCAAAGGACACUGCACGCACUUGUGUGUAUACACGCAGCACACCCCUCCCCACUGAACAAAAACCAGAGAUACCUGCCCGGCACUGAACAAGGCUCACUCCAAAUACUGACUGAGGAAGAGGAGGGAGCUGACAGCUUCCAGACAGCACUGUCUCAGGUAGAACCCCACUGGCAGCAAGGAUUGUGAAUGUAUCAGGGAAUCCCUUCUUAGGCAUCCUCGGGCCUCAAGCACAGUACAGUUCAUCUAACAUAGCUAAAGUCUGAAGACUCAGAGAGAAAGCCUAAACGUGUCCCCUACAGUCUUAAGCAUAGAAAAAUGUGAAAAACGACAUUGAGAAUAAUGUCUGGAUAUUGAAGCCAUGACCACUUUGUGUCUGUUUUAUUCUAGCACAAAAACUCCUGGAUGUUGGUAGGUUUUGGGUAUGUUCAUUUUAGGGGUCUGUCUAUGCUAUGGGGGAAUAGAGGGGGAGUCUCCUAUUUGCACUUAGCAGAGGCCCAUUGCUCCACCCCAAAGAGUAGGGGGUGGGGGGAGCACAGUUUAGCUGAGCUCACUGAGUAUCCCUGUGCUUUCUCGGCUCAAGUCCGUCUGCCUCCGGCCACUGCACAGGGUUGGUGGGACUCAUUGAUAACAACAAUCGUCCCACGCGGAAGGUUAUCCGCAACAUUUUUUGCCAUGUCUAAUCUAAAUGUUUGCAUUUUGUUGAACCAAAUCAAUAUCCGUAGAUGGCAAGUUCAUUUAAUUUAAGAGCUUUAUUGGGUUUUCUAGGAACUUAACGGUGCCUUUCUGACGUGCCAUUGGCUCAGCCUUUUGGCUUUGUUCUGUUUUGCUUUGUCUCCUGGAAGGUUCCUAAUAUGAAAAUCAAACAAGCCUAACAAAGGAGUUGAGGCACAAACUAGCUAAAUAUCCUACCCAUUUCCAGAGCAAAACUAUAAAGAAUGACGAAACCCAGGCAAGCAGAGCAUCCAGUCAGAUCAAGGAAAUAUCAUAAACGCUAAUUCCCCAGAACCCGAUUUUUUUUUUGCCUUAAAUGACAUGGUUGUGUUUUUGUAAGGAAAAAUUUAAUUUAAUAUAAUUAUGUGCAUUUAACCAAGCAGUUCCAAAAGUCAUGUACGAAAACAAUGCAGUCGUCUGUUUCCUGAAAAAAAUGACUAAAUCAGGAACACCGUACCUAUUUCAAGCUAUCGUCAAAAUGUAAUUUCCUUUACCCUUUUACCAAGAUGACUUGUUUUAAACUAAAACAAUUAAAAAA